GUCUUUCUAUGCUAGGAUGAAAAAUGAGUGCUACUAGCACAAGUUCUGGAGAAGAGUGAAGCCACUCCCAGCUGAGGCAGCCAGAAAAGACUUCCUCACCACUGGUACCGUUACACUGGCUCCACCGCACAUCUGAACCUCUGCAUCUCACUUCUUCCACUAGUACCAUCUACUCUAAGGGCAGAGGUGAUAAGCAGUGUGGAAGGGAAUGCUGGCUUCCCUGAUCAAAGAGGCAAGGCUAGUUCUGCAGCAAAGACAUUCCAGGAAUAGAGGGUCGAAGAUUUCAUCUGUUUGUCCAAC
rnacentral:lncRNA from 1 species